GUACGCCCGUCGAUGUGUCCCGGCAUGUGCGGUCGCACCCUCCGUUAUUUACAGCGCAGGUUUCUGGAAGAAAGAGUCACAGGAAAAUGGAGGCUGCCUGUUAUCAUGUCUUAGAGGAAGCGUUUGCUGUACGGGGAUCACAUGAUGCACCAGGAAUACCUGAGGUUCCAGAUCAGAGGGACCCAGCGGAGGCUGCUAUUGUCCCUGUUAUCACCUCUUACAGGAAGCGUUUUCUGUAUGGGGAGCACAUGAUGCACCAGGAAUACCUGAGGUUCUAGAGCAGAGGGACCCAGCGGAGGCGGCUAUUGUCCCUGUUAUCACCUCUUACAGGAAGCGUUUUCUGUAUGGGGAGCACAUGAUGCACCAGGAAUACCUGAGGUUCCAGAGCAGAGGGACCCAGCGGAGGCUGCUAUUGUCCCUGUUAUCACCUCUUACAGGAAGCGUUUGCUGUAUGGGGAGCACAUGAUGCACCAGGAAUACCUGAGGUUCCAGAGCAGAGGGACCCAGCGGAGGCGGCUAUUGUCCCUGUUAUCACCUCUUACAGGAAGCGUUUUCUGUAUGGGGAGCACAUGAUGCACCAGGAAUACCUGAGGUUCCAGAGCAGAGGGACCCAGCGGAGGCUGCUAUUGUCCCUGUUAUCACCUCUUACAGGAAGCGUUUGCUGUAUGGGGAGCACAUGAUGCACCAGGAAUACCUGAGGUUCCAGAGCAGAGGGACCCAGCGGAGGCGGCUAUUGUCCCUGUUAUCACCUCUUACAGGAAGCGUUUUCUGUAUGGGGAGCACAUGAUGCACCAGGAAUACCUGAGGUUCCAGAGCAGAGGGACCCAGCGGAGGCUGCUAUUGUCCCUGUUAUCACCUCUUACAGGAAGCGUUUGCUGUAUGGGGAGCACAUGAUGCACCAGGAAUACCUGAGGUUCCAGAUCAGAGGGACCCAGCGGAGGCGGCUAUUGUCCCUGUUAUCACCUCUUACAGGAAGCGUUUUCUGUAUGGGGAGCACAUGAUGCACCAGGAAUACCUGAGGUUCCAGAGCAGAGGGACCCAGCGGAGGCUGCUAUUGUCCCUGUUAUCACCUCUUACAGGAAGCGUUUGCUGUAUGGGGAGCACAUGAUGCACCAGGAAUACCUGAGGUUCCAGAGCAGAGGGACCCAGCGGAGGCGGCUAUUGUCCCUGUUAUCACCUCUUACAGGAAGCGUUUGCUGUAUGGGGAGCACAUGAUGCACCAGGAAUACCUGAGGUUCCAGAUCAGAGGGACCCAGCGGAGGCGGCUAUUGUCCCUGUUAUCACCUCUUACAGGAAGCGUUUGCUGUAUGGGGAGCACAUGAUGCACCAGGAAUACCUGAGGUUCCAGAGCAGAGGGACCCAGUGGAGGCGGCUAUUGUCCCUGUUAUCAGCUCUUAGAGGAAGCGUUUGCUGUAUGGGGAGCACAUGGCAGUGUUGUUAUGACAGAUAUUUUCUCCACACUCCAGCACUCGCUGCUGUUUACACGACCCCCUGUGUGAUCGCCCCAUUCAUCAGACCCCAAACUCCCACUUAUCUCCAGUCCCUCUCCCAAGCCUGUCGAAACAUCUCCUCCUUCACCUACUUUAUUUAAUAUUACCCUCCCUCCUCCAGAUGCAGCCAUUUAACAGCCACUUUUCUUAAAAGGGAACGACUGUAAUAUAAGUGUAAUUGAUGCAGUAAAGCUGUCCGGUUAUAUUAUCGC